ensembl:lncRNA
GGGGAAGAGUUGGAAAGAACUGCUGCAAAUGAUAGCAAAUCAAGAAGUUAAUGUGGGAGCCUGCCCAUUAGAAGCAGACAGCGGGAGAGAGGUCUCUGAAAGAAAUCAGUGAGUUGGUAAUCAAAUUAAUAAGUGAUUUUUUAGCAGUAGUGGAAAAGUUAUUGUAACUGUUCCAUAGCAGGCAACCUCAGCUGCUGGAAAUUUACCUCUUGUGUGGAGCAUAAGGAGAGUCUUUUCCCCACUUAAUCCUCAAUACAAAGUGUGAUGAGGCUUAUUCAAGACCUGGCAGAGGCAGCUCUCCGGACCAGCAGCCUCUUACUCGCCCUUCAGCAGCACUGACCCUGCAGCAGCCCCACAUCACCCACAGAGCAGUAGUUUUAUUCUGCAUAAUCAGAGCCAGAAGAAAAAACCAUCAAUGAGCAAGGCAAUCUAAUCAGCAUUUUCCUCCACACGGCAGUUAAAGGAAGCGUACAACCUGAGACCGCGGCGAGCAGAGCUCAAUAUCAGAGCUCGAGACACUGGUCAAUCAAUGAAACCAAGCUACUCAAGUGAAGGGCAGAGCGUGUGCAGCUGCUGUGCCUGGGCUCCAGUUGGGCAUCCUGUCUGCUGAUGGACAGCUGGGAGUUUCCUCACCUCUGAAGUCUCACACUGACUGCCUCCAAGCUUUCCUAAAACACCUCACACUCCCCCAGCGCAGUCUCUGAACCUCCUGACUCUGGCAGUAUUUGUCCUUCCAGGAACACAUUAUGCCUCAGAGCUGUGAUGCACAGAGCUCCCAAGGACGUAAGGAGAGCCCAUAAGCACUGAGACAAACCCAGAACUUGUCAUUUUGCUCCAUUUUCUCAUCUAGAAAAUAUAGAUGUUAGAUAAAGUUGCGCUGGGCUCCUGUAACCUUCUCAUUGACAGGACAUCCCACUGCAGGAAUCCAUCCAUAGAAGAGCUCCUGAGCGAGUACAUGCCCUAUCUCACACUGCCGUGGUGAUUUAAAGACACUUCUGUGCCCACUCCCACUCCUGCUGCCCCUCUUGGAGGAUGGAUAAGCUGCACAUCUGCCCAGCGGUGAACAGGUUCUGCAGCCUUUGCCUGAUGAUGAGCUGCCUGUGCCAGCUUCAAUUAGCUGCAAGGAGCCAGAGAGCGGUAGGAGAUGAAUCCAACUUCGUGCUCUCCCCUCUGACCUGCCUCAUUACUGAAAGAAAGGGGCAGCCCAAAGCACGUCGAUGCAGAAAAGACCCGUUGGGUCCUGAGAUCCAUCAUGCUGCUGGAGGAAGGGUGGCGACCACUCACCCUGUGCUUUAAAUCCCGAUCGGAUUUCAGAUGCUCAGUGUUAAUUGCCUCAGUACAAGGACUGACCCCGGACAGCAAAACUAAAAUUAAGUUUCAACUUAGAGAUCUGGAUGUGGCAUCUGGGUCAGCUCCUUCAUCUUUCCUGAACCUGAGGAGCAGUGCUACACCUUUGCUUCUGUCUGAAAUAAAAGCAGCUACGAAAGGAUAGUUUACUGGAGACAUCGGAAAGUAUGGAAAUCUCUCUCCAAACUGGGAAAUGGAAUACUGUGCACUGGGAAACACAAUUCAAACGCCUCAUUUUUGCUGUCCCUAACACAACAGAUUUCUAAAGCAGGUUAUUCUUGCCAUCUAUGGCUCUUUGCAGAGGAUUUCACAGCGCCAGCAGUGCCUACUGUAACAUCUUGCAGAAAUUUAAUGAAACAUCGUUCAGAACACAUGCAUCAGCUCAGCGAGAGCCAUUCAACAGACCCUCUGCUGAGGGCCACACCAGAUUCUAAGAGGCACCUUUUUACCUUUAUCAAUCUGACUCCAAAGGCAGAACUAGCAACAAAUCUGAACUUGUGAAAUCCAACUUUUCACACCUUCUUGCUUUUUCUGGUGUUUCCAAGAAGCUUACAGCACCUGAAAACUGCAAUCCGCCAUAUGCUUCACUGGUUCUUAAAUUGCUCUUCAAUUCCCUUGCUCCUCCUUCACCAGCCGAGGUUCUGUCUCAAGGAUGCACCAGGGACACGUGGGUUUAGGCCAAAAGGGCUCACACAGCUUGUGAUAGUUCCACUUCUUCCAGCAUUAAUCCACUUUAAUCCAACUGGAUCACACUCAGGCUUUGGCAGCACCGGUUCUGUUAAUAUUUAAAGGUUAACAAAUUCAACAGAUCCUGUGCAACUUAUAUAUACAUCGAGAGCUUUGAUUGAGAUUCUGUAAAAUGAGUUAAGGAAUGUGAAGGAGAUACCACACAAUGACAGCAGGGGUAUUUUUUCCAUAAGAUGUGGAGCAUUAGAAUGCAAGUGCCAUAAUCAUGCUUCAAUAAUGAAGUGAUUUCAUGGAUAUCAGAGACAAAUACAGGAAGAUAUAAACUGUGCAGUUCUCAUACAAAUUCCUCACUGCUUGCAGAACAAACGCAUCCCCAAACCUCUAAAUACCUCGUGCAGGCACAGCAAAUAAAUGAUUUGGGGUGGGAGAUGACAAUCUCUGAGACCCAAGAGGAUGGGGGAAAGAUGCUGAGAGCUGUAAAAGAGCUGUCAAGUGUAUCAUCUUGCUGUUGCUCUCCUUGUUAAAGAUGCGAGAGCACUUGCAGCUGUUAAAUAUUGAGAAGGAGAAACAGCUUAACAUCCAAGUGUGGCCCUCAGAGGGAAUCUUACAGAGCAGUAAGAUUUUUAAAAAGAUGAUGAGAACUUGAGGGACACCAAAAAUCAUACUAAGAAAAGAUAACUACCAAAUGCAACUUCAAAAUACAUAAAAACACCUAACAAAGCCUUCCUCAAAGGCCCUGAUAGAAGAAAAGACGCUUGCUUACGUCUGUGACAUUUGUACCCAAUUCAAUAAAUUGAUGUUGUGACCGAGGCAUUCUGCACUCAAAUGCAGUAGAAAACAAAGGUCUUGACCAGCUCCAACCUUGAAAGAUACCAGUGCUCUUAGGAAGAGCAGACAUUGACGUGCGCUCAGGAUGACUGCACUCUGGCCAUUUCCCCCAGCUUCCAAUCUUCAUGGGAAAGAGCAUGCUUCUUCACCCAGCCCCGCACAGAGCAGCACAGGAGACAGCGUUAUUCCAGCAGAUGCUGCAGUGACAGACAAAAUAAACUAAAUAAAAAAAUAAAGAUUUCAAGAUCAAAGACGUGAUGUAAAACAAAGCUACAAAGAUGCAACAUUUUCU